rnacentral:rRNA from 1 species
ACGAACGCUGGCGGCGUGCUUAACACAUGCAAGGCGAACGGAAAGGCCCUGCUUUUGUGGGGUGCUCGAGUGGCGAACGGGUGAGUAACACGUGAGUAACCUGCCCUUGACUUUGGGAUAACUUCAGGAAACUGGGGCUAAUACCGGAUAGGAGCUCCUGCUGCAUGGUGGGGGUUGGAAAGUUUCGGCGGUUGGGGAUGGACUCGCGGCUUAUCAGCUUGUUGGUGGGGUAGUGGCUUACCAAGGCUUUGACGGGUAGCCGGCCUGAGAGGGUGACCGGCCACAUUGGGACUGAGAUACGGCCCAGACUCCUACGGGAGGCAGCAGUGGGGAAUAUUGCACAAUGGGCGGAAGCCUGAUGCAGCAACGCCGCGUGCGGGAUGACGGCCUUCGGGUUGUAAACCGCUUUCGCCUGUGACGAAGCGUGAGUGACGGUAAUGGGUAAAGAAGCACCGGCUAACUACGUG